AUGUCGGAAAGGUUAGCACACCCAGAUGCAAUCUGCCUAUCCCUGGGUAGAGUGUGGUGCCAUAUCAAGGGUAUCAUCUUCCAGGAGAUUGGAGAGCACCAAUUCCUAUUCACAUUCCAUCAAGAUUCUAGAAAGAGUAAGGCGAUCAAGAAUGGUCCGUGGAUGUUUGACAAAGAGUUGGUGGUGGUAGAGGACUUCAAUCCAAGUAAAAGGCCAGAAGACUAUGCCUUCAAUGAUAUACCGAUAUGGGUCAGGGUAUUCAAUAUCCCUUUUGAAAGGAUCAAUGGGGAUUCUGCGGAAGAUGUUGGCAAUAUUAUCGGGUGUUUUGUGGAGGCGGACACGGGCUUGGAUAGCAACACCAUUGGGAGGUUUAUGCGGAUUAAGGUCAGAAUGAGGAUUGACAAACCUGUCAUGAGGGGAUUCACCCGAGAUGAUGAUGAAGAGCGGCUGAGUUCUCAUAAUGAAAAGAGUGGGUCAAUGAACAAUGAAGAGGAGGAAGUAGGGUACUGGUGCCGCUUUGAGUUUUAAUUUCUAUCAGAUUUUUGCUUCAUAUGUGGUGUCGUUGGGCAUAGUAAGAAGGACCGUAUGAUCAAGUUGAAGAAGUGCGCAAAAACAUUGUUUGGUAGGUGGUUGAAGGCGAACAUGGGGCAGCGAAGAGGAGGGGCGGAGGAAGGGCCAUGGAGGAAUGGUGGUAGAGGUGGUGGAGGUAGUCUCACCUUUGGUUACAGCAGGUCGGCAGGGCAAUCAUGGAGUGGGAGUGAUAGCCUCUCUUGGAGAAAGAGUGACUCUUGGUCUAGCGGGGAUGGAGAGGGUAAAACUGAUAAAGGAGUAGAGAAAUCUAACCCACCUAAUACCGGUAAGGAGGAGAGGAGUAUGGGGACAAAGAGGCUGGAAUUGGGAGGUGGAGCAACAAAAAUUAGUACCAUGGUAGCUGCAAAGUAA
rnacentral:rRNA from 1 species